rnacentral:rRNA from 1 species
GACGAACGCUGGCGGCGCGCCUAACACAUGCAAGUCGAACGAGCGAGAGAGAGCUUGCUUUCUCGAGCGAGUGGCGAACGGGUGAGUAACGCGUGAGGAACCUGCCUCAAAGAGGGGGACAACAGUUGGAAACGACUGCUAAUACCGCAUAAGCCCACGGCUCGGCAUCGAGCAGGGGGAAAAGGAGCAAUCCGCUUUGAGAUGGCCUCGCGUCCGAUUAGCUAGUUGGUGAGGUAACGGCCCACCAAGGCGACGAUCAGUAGCCGGACUGAGAGGUUGAACGGCCACAUUGGGACUGAGACACGGCCCAGACUCCUACGGGAGGCAGCAGUGGGGAAUAUUGCACAAUGGGGGAAACCCUGAUGCAGCGACGCCGCGUGGAGGAAGAAGGUCUUCGGAUUGUAAACUCCUGUUGUUGGGGAAGAUAAUGACGGUACCCAACAAGGAAGUGACGGCUAACUACGUG